rnacentral:rRNA from 1 species
UACGGAGGAUGCAAGCGUUAUCCGGAUUCAUUGGGCUUAAAGGGUGCGUAGGCGGACUAUUAAGUCAGUGGUGAAAGCCUGCAGCUUAACUGCAGAACUGCCAUUGAUACUGAUAGUCUUGAGUUUGGUUAAGGUAGGCGGAAUGUGUUAUGUAGCGGUGAAAUGCUUAGAUAUUACACAGAACACCAAUUGCGUAGGCAGCUUACUGAGCCGACACUGACGCUGAGGCACGAAAGCGUGGGGAUCGAA